rnacentral:rRNA from 1 species
UACGUAGGGGGCAAGCGUUGUCCGGAAUUAUUGGGCGUAAAGAGCUCGUAGGCGGCCUGUUGCGUCCGCUGUGAAAGCCCGGGGCUUAACCCCGGGUCGGCAGUGGAUACGGGCAGGCUAGAGGUAGGUAGGGGAGAAUGGAAUUCCCGGUGUAGCGGUGAAAUGCGUAGAGAUCGGGAGGAACACCAGAGGCGAAGGCGGCGACCUGGACAGAUACUGACACUCAACUACGAAGGCGUGGGGAGCAAACAGG